UACAGAGGGGGCAAGCGUUGUCCGGAAUUACUGGGCGUACAGCGCGCGCAGGCGGGCCGUGACGUGCCGUGUGACAGCGGUCGGCUUAACCGGCCGAGGCCACGGUAGACGCUCGACCUGGAGGCAGGGAGAGGGAUGUGGAAUGCCCGGUGGAGCGGUGAAAUGCGUAGAGAUCGGGCGGAACACCAGCGGCGAAGGCGGCAUCCUGGCCCUGACCUGACGCUGAGGCGCGAGAGCGUGGGGAGCCAACCGG
rnacentral:rRNA from 1 species